rnacentral:rRNA from 1 species
UACGUGAGGGGCAAGCGUUGUCCGGAUUUAUUGGGCGUAAAGAGCGUGUAGGCGGCCUGAAAGGUCAGCUGUGAAAACUCGAGGCUCAACCUCGAGACGUCGGUUGAAACCAUCUGGCUAGAGUCCGGAAGAGGAGAGUGGAAUUCCCGGUGUAGCGGUGAAAUGCGCAGAUAUCGGGAAGAACACCCGUGGCGAAGGCAGCUCGCUGGGACGUGACUGACGCUGAGGCGCGAAAGCGUGGGGAGCAAACAGG